rnacentral:tRNA from 1 species
AGGAUGGGAUGCUACAUUGGUAAUGGUCGG